rnacentral:rRNA from 1 species
CAGCCGCCGCGGUAAUACGAAGGGUGCAAGCGUUACUCGGAAUUACUGGGCGUAAAGCGUGCGUAGGUGGUGGUUUAAGUCCGUUGUGAAAGCCCUGGGCUCAACCUGGGAAUUGCAGUGGAUACUGGGUCACUAGAGUGUGGUAGAGGAUAGUGGAAUUUCCGGUGUAGCAGUGAAAUGCGUAGAGAUCGGAAGGAACAUCUGUGGCGGAGGCGACUAUCUGGGCCAACACUGACGCUGAGGCACGAAAGCGUGGGGAGCAAACAGGAUUAGAUACCCCCGUAGUCCCUGUCUCUUAUAC